UGGCUCAGAGGGUAAAGCAUCUGCUUGCAAUGCAGGAGACCCGGGUUCGAUUCCUGG
rnacentral:tRNA from 1 species